rnacentral:rRNA from 1 species
AGUGAACGCUGGCGGUAGGCCUAACGCAUGCAAGUCGAACGGCAGCACAGGAGAGCUUGCUCUCUGGGUGGCGGGUGGCGGACGGGUGAGGAAUACAUCGGAAUCUACUCUGUCGUGGGGGAUAACGUAGGGAAACUUACGCUAAUACCGCAUACGACCUACGGGCGAAAGCAGGGGACCUUCGGGCCUUGCGCGAUUGAAUGAGCCGAUGUCGGAUUAGCUAGUUGGCGGGGUAAAGGCCCACCAAGGCGACGAUCCGUAGCUGGUCUGAGAGGAUGAUCAGCCACACUGGAACUGAGACACGGUCCAGACUCCUACGGGAGGCAGCAGUGGGGAAUAUUGGACAAUGGGCGCAAGCCUGAUCCAGCCACACCGCGUGGGUGAAGAAGGCCUUCGGGUUGUAAAGCCCUUUUGUUGGGAAAGAAAUCCAGCUGGCUAAUACCCGGUUGGGAUGACGGUACCCAAAGAAUAAGCACCGGCUAACUUCGUGCCAGCCGCCGCCGUAA